CUUGAGCCCAGGCUGGGCACAGCACCUCCAAAACUGCCAUCCACAUCCAGAUCUGCCAGCAUCCACCAGGCAUCAUUGCUCCCAUAAUCCUGAGUGAGCUCCAAGGCUGAAACUGGCACAGGCUGCCCAGCACCAGGUUAGACACUGGAGGGGUGCUCUGGGAAAGUGUGCUGGUUGGCCCCCAUGCCCAGGGUAGUAAAGUUUAAUGCACACAGCCCCUGCAGAAAGUUUAUGUGCCCCAGCUGCCCCCACAAUGGGCAGUCCCUGGUAGAACGGUUCGAUGAGCUCAGACUUGCUGCUCGCUGGAUGGAG